UACGUAGGGGACGAGCGUUGUCCGGAAUUACUGGGCGUAAAGGGCGCGCAGGCUGUAGAUCAAGUCAGCUGUGAAAUGUCUGGGCUUAACCCGGGCAUGCGGUUGAAACUGAUGUACUGGAGUGUUGUAGAGGCAAGUGGAAUUCCCAGUGUAGCGGUGAAAUGCGUAGAUAUUGGGAAGAACACCGGUGGCGAAGGCGACUUGCUGGGCAGCAACUGACGCUGAGGCGCGAAAGCCAGGGGAGCAAACGGGAUUAGAUA
rnacentral:rRNA from 1 species